CCUGUAGGCACUUCUGUCACAGCAGGGGGCUAUGUCUCUGGAAGGCAAACAGUUCAGGGUGAUUUAAAGCCCUAUUCUCCCCUUGCCUUGUAGUGAAAGGGAAACCCAGUAGCCACACAUCUAUCCCAUCUUGGCCUGGAAAGCCCAGUGCUAAGCAGCUGUUCAUUAUUUAUUCUAUAGAAAUAGUGUCCUCAGGAAUGGGCUUCUAGUGCUUUAGGGCCACAUUGAUGCUUCCAAGCUUAGUUGGGGAGAUAAUGCUCUAUAGUUCCAUUUUCCUUUUUUGCAUUUUAGGUGACACUGGAGAAUUAUCUGGAACAACCAUUAUAUCUGAAAAUUCCACCACAGCAGGCAUCACUGCAGCAACAGGGAAGCAAGCAGGCACCUCGGAGUUAGCUCCUGCCACAACAGUUGCCCCAGGAAGUUUCAGCACAGGUGAGUCUACUCUGUGGUGGGGAAUCCUUUCAUGGGUGCUUGCUACAGUAACAUGCCUUUCCUUUUGGUGCUUCUAUGCAGGAGUUCCACCAUUCCAUUCCAUGCCCCCUGAAUCUUUUCCAUUUGUGUCUUUCUUCUUCCAGCAGCCACAACUUCUCCUGGAGCAAGUGGAAUGACUGGGGUUACAACAACUACAAGUAAGAACUGACAAUCCACUACCUCCUUCACAGUAGGUCACAUUGCUUCAAUCACAUCUACCAUUUGUACGUCCUGUGAAGAGCAUUUUUGUUGGAAAAAAAAAAACACUAUUCCAAAUAGACAAGAUUUUACCUAAUACAUAAAUGUCAGACACUCAAAUACAUUUAUCUUCGUUUCCUCUGCUUCAAGGAGACUUCACCAUGGAGCUAAGGCACUGAACAUCAGUUGUGUGAUUGGAGAGAAAAGUCUUUCUUUCCCUCAAUGAUAUAUAAAGGAAAUAAUAGCUAUUAACAUUUUUCUCAUUAAAUAUUCUAUAGAAAUGGUGUAUGCAAAACAUAUAGAUUAACUCCUGGUCUAGAAACCUCUGAAAGAGCUUGCUGAC
rnacentral:lncRNA from 1 species